AGUCGAACGAUGAAGCCGGAGCUUGCUCUGGUGGAUUAGUGGCGAACGGGUGAGUAACACGUGAGUAACCUGCCCUUGACUCUGGGAUAAGCGUUGGAAACGACGUCUAAUACCGGAUACGAGCUGAGACCGCAUGGUCAUUAGCUGGAAAGAAUUUCGGUCAAGGAUGGACUCGCGGCCUAUCAGUUAGUUGGUGAGGUAACGGCUCACCAAGACGACGACGGGUAGCCGGCCUGAGAGGGUGACCGGCCACACUGGGACUGAGACACGGCCCAGACUCCUACGGGAGGCAGCAGUGGGGAAUAUUGCACAAUGGGCGCAAGCCUGAUGCAGCAACGCCGCGUGAGGGACGACGGCCUUCGGGUUGUAAACCUCUUUUAGCAGGGAAGAAGCGAAAGUGACGGUACCUGCAGAAAAAGCACCGGCUAACUACGUGCCAGCAGCCGCGGUAAUACGUAGGGUGCAAGCGUUGUCCGGAAUUAUUGGGCGUAAAGAGCUCGUAGGCGGUUUGUCGCGUCUGCUGUGAAAACGCGAGGCUCAACCUCGCGCCUGCAGUGGGUACGGGCAAACUAGAGUGCGGUAGGGGAGAUUGGAAUUCCUGGU
rnacentral:rRNA from 1 species